rnacentral:tRNA from 1 species
GGCUCGGUAGCUUAGUUGGGAAACACUUGUCUAGCAUACAAGAGUCGUGGGUUUGAAUCCUACUUGAGCAC